ensembl:snRNA U6 U6 spliceosomal RNA
UUGCUUCAGUAGCAUAUAUAUUAAAACUGAAAUGAAAUGGAAGAUUAGCACGGCCCCUGUGCAAGGAUGACGUGCAAAUUCAUGAAGUGUCCCAUAUCUUA